CUUAUACUCCCUCCGUUCGGAAUUACUUGUCGCAGAAAUGGAUGUAUUUAGAUGUAUUUUAGUUCUAGAUACAUCCAUUUCCGAGACAAGUAAUUCCAAACGGAGGGAGUACCUU
rnacentral:pre_miRNA from 1 species